GAUGAACGCUGGCGGCGUGCCUAAUACAUGCAAGUCGAGCGAACGGACGAGAAGCUUGCUUCUCUGAUGUUAGCGGCGGACGGGUGAGUAACACGUGGAUAACCUACCUAUAAGACUGGGAUAACUUCGGGAAACCGGAGCUAAUACCGGAUAAUAUUUUGAACCGCAUGGUUCAAAAGUGAAAGACGGUCUUGCUGUCACUUAUAGAUGGAUCCGCGCUGCAUUAGCUAGUUGGUAAGGUAACGGCUUACCAAGGCAACGAUGCAUAGCCGACCUGAGAGGGUGAUCGGCCACACUGGAACUGAGACACGGUCCAGACUCCUACGGGAGGCAGCAGUAGGGAAUCUUCCGCAAUGGGCGAAAGCCUGACGGAGCAACGCCGCGUGAGUGAUGAAGGUCUUCGGAUCGUAAAACUCUGUUAUUAGGGAAGAACAUAUGUGUAAGUAACUGUGCACAUCUUGACGGUACCUAAUCAGAAAGCCACGGCUAACUACGUGCCAGCAGCCGCGGUAAUACGUAGGUGGCAAGCGUUAUCCGGAAUUAUUGGGCGUAAAGCGCGCGUAGGCGGUUUUUUAAGUCUGAUGUGAAAGCCCACGGCUCAACCGUGGAGGGUCAUUGGAAACUGGAAAACUUGAGUGCAGAAGAGGAAAGUGGAAUUCCAUGUGUAGCGGUGAAAUGCGCAGAGAUAUGGAGGAACACCAGUGGCGAAGGCGACUUUCUGGUCUGUAACUGACGCUGAUGUGCGAAAGCGUGGGGAUCAAACAGGAUUAGAUACCCUGGUAGUCCACGCCGUAAUCGAUGAGUGCUAAGUGUUAGGGGGUUUCCGCCCCUUAGUGCUGCAGCUAACGCAUUAAGCACUCCGCCUGGGGAGUACGACCGCAAGGUUGAAACUCAAAGGAAUUGACAGGGACCCGCACAAGCGGUGGAGCAUGUGGUUUAAUUCGAAGCAACGCGAAGAACCUUACCAAAUCUUGACAUCCUUUGACAACUCUAGAGAUAGAGCCUUCCCCUUCGGGGGACAAAGUGACAGGUGGUGCAUGGUUGUCGUCAGCUCGUGUCGUGAGAUGUUGGGUUAAGUCCCGCAACGAGCGCAACCCUUAAGCUUAGUUGCCAUCAUUAAGUUGGGCACUCUAAGUUGACUGCCGGUGACAAACCGGAGGAAGGUGGGGAUGACGUCAAAUCAUCAUGCCCCUUAUGAUUUGGGCUACACACGUGCUACAAUGGACAAUACAAAGGGCAGCGAAACCGCGAGGUCAAGCAAAUCCCAUAAAGUUGUUCUCAGUUCGGAUUGUAGUCUGCAACUCGACUACAUGAAGCUGGAAUCGCUAGUAAUCGUAGAUCAGCAUGCUACGGUGAAUACGUUCCCGGGUCU
rnacentral:rRNA from 1 species